AAACAAACAAAACAGAACAAAAUUUCCGCCCGCGACCUGAUAGUCAACAACAAACGGAAAGCUUGCCUCGGUUAACAGUUCGAAGCGCUUGCAGCGGUCUGGAUGAAACCUCGGAUGAAACAAGGAAUUCGCGAACCUGAAAUCAGCUGGAGGCUCGGCUGUAGGAACCUGUUCCGGCCUGACUGCGACUGCGAGCAGUUCCGCACAAAAGGAGUAGCGGAGGAUUUCCCCUACUGCGGGCGGAAACUGAGUUCUCUUGCGAUUGGAAAUUUGCCCCCACCGGAAGAAGAUCCACAGCUAGUUUUAAUCGUCAGACGUACUACCUGUGGUAUCGUAGAUAGAUCGAGUAGGCCUGGAGAGAUGUGAAGAAGUGUAAUCAGUUUGAGAGUCAGGUACGGAAGCGAACGGGUUAAUAUACGGAUUGUGUGUGCAGUUGUAGUGCAGUUUAUUAAGUCUUCUUAUGAGAACUUCCAAAACCGUAAUGGUGUAUGUCCGUCGUCCGAGAUCCUGGAUUCCACAUUGGCGACGAGGUGAAAAUGUGAGUAAUAUCAAUUAUAGUGAUAAUGUCGCUUUAAUUUGGCCCACGCACCAUUCAGAUUUUUUUCCUUCGAUUUCGCUCAGUCACGUGCUAGUGAAAAAAAAACUCAAACGGUUGUGCUUAGCAUGGCAACCGCGAUGACAAAGUCCAUUACAUUGGAAGAACCGUCAUUGAUGAUGAUGAUGAAGCGUGGAAAAGUAACACAUAGAUGUGUUCAGUGAGAUGUUCGAACUAAAGCUAAAGAUUUGCGUGUUUUGUUUUUUUUUUCAAUUCCCAGCCUAGAAAAUUACGGAUAAUCUAGGGCGGAAACAAAAUGGUAUACGCUGGCCUGGUCGUUGGAAGCAGCUACCCAGUUUUUUUUACAGUUUUGUUUAAUGAAAUUAUAGAACAGAGUUGAAGCAAUUGCCAACCAGCCAUUGAACAGAUUUGGUGUUGAAAAUUAACGUGGUCAUCAUUUCGAAUACUGUCAUUCUGGUCGGGUUGCUUUGGUAUUAGUAAAUUGUUGUAGUAUUUUGUUUUCGUGUAUCCAUAUUCAUUUGUGUCGAAAGAAAAUUUGUGAGUUGAAGUUCUCAACGACCCGGACUGGAUCAACAGAAUACCAUUCUAUGUGGUAUGAUGAAUAAGGUGAUUUCUAACAUUGGAAGUGCUCUGGGAUACAAUAAUCACAGCAGGUAAAUUAUUGAAUAUACAAAAUCGAAAGUAAUGCUGAAAGUAUAGAGAAAUACGCAAGUUUUGUUUACAUAUUAUGAAUGAUGAUCAAGUGUAGUUAUGCAAGUGUUCAUUUGGAUGAUGCACUGAACGAAAUAGUGAGAUGCAAAUAAAUUGAAUAAAUAUAAUAAAGUGUAAAUGUUUCCCCAAAAUAAAAAUAAAUGAUUAUGAUUGUUUUAUUUUGAAUUAUAUUAAUAAUUCAUAUUUUGGAAAAGGAGGAUUUCGUCACAAUACAGAGAAGGCGGUUUUCGUCACAAUACAGAGAAGGCGGUUUUCGUCACAUUUCAGAGAAGGCGGUUUUCGUCACAUUUCAGAGAAGGCGGUUUUCGUCUCAAUACAAAGAAGGCGGUUUCGUCAAAAUAAAUGAAGGCGGGUUUCGUCACAAUUCAGAGAAGGCGGUUUUCGUCACAUUUCAGAAAAGGCGGUUUUCGUCACAUUUCAGAGAAGGCGGUUUUCGUCA